ACACUUACCUGGUAGGGAGAUACCAUGAUCACGAAGGUGGUUUUCCCAGGGUGAGGCUUAUCCAUUGCUCUCCGGAUGUGCUGACCCCUGCGAUUUCCCCAGAUGUGGGAAACUUGACUGCAUAAUUUGUGGUUGUGGGGGACUAAGUUCGUGCUUUCCCCUA